UGCAGCUCAGUGGGUAGAGCACUUGCCUGGCAUGCAUGAAGGCCCUGGGUUUGAUCCCCAGCA
rnacentral:tRNA from 1 species